rnacentral:misc_RNA from 1 species
GAUGAAGAACGCAGCGAAAUGCGAUAAGUAAUGUGAAUUGCAGAAUUCAGUGAAUCAUCGAAUCUUUGAACGCACAUUGCGCCCGCCAGUAUUCUGGCGGGCAUGCCUGUUCGAGCGUCAUUUCAACCAUCAAGCCCCCGGCUUGUGUUGGGGACCUGCGGCUGCCGCAGGCCCUGAAAACCAGUGGCGGGCUCGCUGUCACACCGAGCGUAGUAGAUUUUCAUCUCGCUCAGGGCGUGCUGCGGGUUCCGGCCGUAAAAGGCCUUAUUUACCCAAGGUUGACCUCGGAUCAGGUAGGAAGACCCGCUGAACUUAAGCAUAUCAAUAAGCGGAGGA